AUUCCAGCUCCAAUAGCGUAUAUUAAAGUUGUUGCAGUUAAAAAGCUCGUAGUUGGAUUUCAGUCUUAAUUCGUCUGGCCCGCUCCCUUGAGGAGCCGAGUGCCGGUUGCGAAUUGGACUUCCUUCUAGCAUGAAUCUCCUACCGUUAUGCGGCCGGGAAGGACAUCUGGAUCAUUUACUUUGAAGAAAUUAGAGUGUUCAAAGCAAGCUUACGCUGUGAAUAUAUUAGCAUGGAAUAAUAACAUAGGACUCGGGUUCUAUUUUGUUGGUUUCUAGGACUCAAGUAAUGAUUGAUAGGGACAGUUGGGGGUGCUGCUAUUAUAUGGCCAGAGGUGAAAUUCACGGAUUCAUAUAAGAGCAACUUACGCGAAAGCAUUCACCAAGGAUGUCUUCAUCA
rnacentral:rRNA from 1 species